GAAAUGCGAUAAGUAGUGUGAAUUGCAGAAUUUAGCGAAUCAUCGAAUCUUUGAACGCACAUUGCGCCCCUUGGUAUUCCAUGGGGCAUGCCUGUUCGAGCGUCAUUUCAACCCUCAAGCACUGCUUGGUGUUGGGCGUUUGUCCCGCUUACGCGCGUGGACUCGCCUCAAAGUCAUUGGCGGCUGUUCCCCUUCGGCUCGUAAGCGCAGCACAGUCGGCGCCCGGAGCUCUGGUGGGAUGGCGUCCAGCAAGCUAUAUUUUCAGGCUUGACCUCGGAUCAGGUAGGGAUACCCGCUGAACUUAAGC
rnacentral:misc_RNA from 1 species